rnacentral:rRNA from 1 species
GACGAACGCUGGCGGCGUGCUUAACACAUGCAAGUCGAACGGAAAGGCCCUGCUUUUGUGGGGUGCUCGAGUGGCGAACGGGUGAGUAACACGUGAGUAACCUGCCCUUGACUUUGGGAUAACUUCAGGAAACUGGGGCUAAUACCGGAUAGGAGCUCCUGCUGCAUGGUGGGGGUUGGAAAGUUUCGGCGGUUGGGGAUGGACUCGCGGCUUAUCAGCUUGUUGGUGGGGUUGGUGCUUACCAAGGCUUUGACGGGUAGCCGGCCUGGGAGGGUGACCGGCCACAUUGGGACUGAGAUACGGCCCAGACGCCUACGGGAGGCAGCAGUGGGGAAUAUUGCGCAAUGGGCGGAAGCCUGAUGCAGCAACGCCGCGUGCGGGAUGACGGCCUUCGGGUUGUAAACCGCUUUCGACUGUGACGAAGCGUGAGUGACGGUAAUGGGUAAAGAAGCACCGGCUAACUACGUG